rnacentral:rRNA from 1 species
UACACUCCUACGGGAGGCAGCAGUGGGGAAUAUUGCACAAUGGGCGCAAGCCUGAUGCAGCCAUGCCGCGUGUAUGAAGAAGGCCUUCGGGUUGUAAAGUACUUUCAGCGGGGAGGAAGGCGAUAAGGUUAAUAACCUUGUCGAUUGACGUUACCCGCAGAAGAAGCACCGGCCAACUCCGUGCCAGCAGCCGCGGUAAUACGGAGGGUGCAAGCGUUAAUCGGAAUUACUGGGCGUAAAGCGCACGCAGGCGGUCUGUCAAGUCGGAUGUGAAAUCCCCGGGCUCAACCUGGGAACUGCAUUCGAAACUGGCAGGCUAGAGUCUUGUAGAGGGGGGUAGAAUUCCAGGUGUAGCGGUGAAAUGCGUAGAGAUCUGGAGGAAUACCGGUGGCGAAGGCGGCCCCCUGGACAAAGACUGACGCUCAGGUGCGAAAGCGUGGGGAGCAAACAGGAUUAGAAACCCCAGUAGUCCCAUGA